rnacentral:rRNA from 1 species
AUUGAACGCUGGCGGCAGGCCUAACACAUGCAAGUCGAACGAGUGGCGGACGGGUGAGUAAUGUCUGGGAAACUGCAUGAUGGAGGGGGAUAACUACUGGACACGGUAGCUAAUACCGCAUACCAUCGGAUGUGCCCAGAGGGGAUUAGCUAGUAGGUGGGGUAACGGCUCACCUAGGCGACGAGCCCUAGCUGGUCUGAGAGGAUGACGCGCCACACUGGAACUGCGACACGGCCCAGACUCCUACGGGAGGCAUCAGUGGGGAUGAUUGCACAAUGGGCGCAAGCCGGAUGCUGCCAUGCCGCGUGUAUGAAGAAGGCCUGCGGGUUGUAAAGUACUUUCAGCGGGGAGGCGUUACCCGCAGAAGAAGCACCGGCUAACUCCGUGCCAGCAGCCGCGGUAAUUC